ensembl:lncRNA
AUAGAUUCAUACAAUGUUUUUACUAUAAAUGUUAUCUUUCCACCCUAUUCUUGUCCACAGUUGUCUGCGAACCCACAACCUUCUGGCCCUCAGCCCUGUGCACUAUCAAAAUUCCUGCGUUGCCAUGUAAAUGCUUACAGGAUGAAGAACAGUUUGGUCUGUCCAAGAAGUGAGGGUAAAUGGUAGACAUGUUUUCUGCUAUCCACUUUGUUUUAAUGAUUAUUUAGGGUUUAAAGGAGGGUCACUUGUUUUUUUUGGUUUUUCAAGCAUUCAGGGAGGGUUUAGGUACAAUAUAUUUUGCUGACGGGAGGGCCAUCCAUGUAACCCUUAUUAUAAAUAAUGUUUACUCCCUAACAUAAAUUAAAUAUUUGAAGUCAUUAGUGUAGGCUGUGCAAAUGUUAACUAUACUAUAAUUGUGGUAGUGUAUAUAAGGCUUCACAUUCCUACAACCCAUCGACUUGUGCAUCUUGUUCUCUAAACAGCCAUAAAGCCAAAUUGAAGUGCUGUUGAUUAAAGUCUUGGCCCGGGCAGACAACAGAAGUCGUCUCUUUACCCUGACUUUGACGUUGUGGACUGGCCAGUGUGUCAGUGCCAGAAAACCCACAUAAUCAGAGAGCCCAGAAGUCACAAGCCAAAACUUGCAUUUUGACUUGCAUUUUGAUGUUGUGUUCGAGACCACCUAAAGUGAGACCGAUCCAAGACCGGAGAAAAUCUAGUCCGAGUCAAGACCAAGACCAGAAGGGGUCAAGACAGAGUCCAGACCGGGAAGGGGACGAGGGAUCCGAGACCAGAAAAAUGCGAGUCCAAUUCAUGGUGGCAAUAUUGUCAAAUUGCCACCAUAAGAGUUCAAAAUGUCCAAUAUUUCUGUGUUCAUAUUUCAGAACAACAUAUGGAUUCUUUAGACAUUCAGAAUGGUGUAAAUAAAAUGUAUGCUGAGGGAAAAUAGAGACAGUCUACAAAUUAUUACUAACCCAAACACAGUGGGAAACAAUGAGGGCCUUCUAUGCCUUCAGAGAAGGGGUAAGGAUUUAUAAAAUAAUUGUAUUAUUUAUUUUUAUUCUUUUCAAUGAUGUUCUGAUUUAAUCUCUUCAGUUUUUGUUGGAAAGUUAAGACCAAAGAGAAAAAAGCUCCAAUGUGGAUUUUUCUUUGGUGGUCUCUCAGAGGAGAUAAAUAUAGCUAGCCAAGUCAGCCAUUGGCAAGGCAUCAGAAGCUAGAUAGAAGGCAUCUGCCAUUCAACUAUUAAGGGAAAAAUGUUGAGUGACAGUGUAAUCAACCAAUCACAUUUAGACUUGAAAUGGGUGUGACUGUUUUCACAAAAACAUAAAAACACUGUGCAAUUGUGAGCAGUAGUUGUCCCACGGUCUAGCUUGCUAGCUUUUGUUGUAGGCUAGUUUGCAGUGGCUCCAGCAGGUGUAUCGAAGGUGUUGCUAAUUUGUUAGCCUCUCCCUUUUCAAGAAUAACUUUCAACAGCAAGAGUAGUGGUGGAAUAGUUUUUUUUUAUCUUUGAAAAUAACUUGUUUCACACCCUGAGCGGUUUCACCUGUCUUUGUGAUUGUCUCCACCCCCCCUCCAGUGGUUGCCCAUCUUUCCCAUUAUCCCCUGUGUAUUUAUACCGGUGUUCUGUUUGUCUGCCAGUUCGUCUUGUUAAGUCAUCAGCGGUUUUUGUAUCAGCACCUGCUUUUCCCCAGUCUCUCUUUUCUCGUUCUCCUGGUUUUGACCCUUACCUGUCCUGACCCUGAGCCCCCCCGCCUGACCACUCUGCCUGCCCCUGACCCUGCCUGGCAUCCUGUACCUUUACCCUGUUACUGUAAUAAGCAUUGUUACUUUACGUUAUUAUUUCCGUACUUGCAUAAUUAAUAAAGAUUAUAUUUAUAUACAACAAUAAAUCUGGUGUUUGUCAGUGUUAUUAUGUGAUGUAUAUAAAGUGCAAUAUUGGGAUGCAAACUCAAAAUUGAAUAAAUG